GACAGAGGGUGCAAACGUUGUUCGGAAUUACUGGGUGUAAAGCGCGUGUAGGCGGGAGGCCAAGUCUGUGGUGAAAUCGCCUGGCUUAACUGGGCGGGGUCCAUGGAAACUGGUCACCUGGAGGUCGGUAGAGGCAAGUGGAAUUCCCGGUGUAGUGGUGAAAUGCGUAGAGAUCGGGAGGAACACCAGUGGCGAAGGCGGCUUGCUGGGCCGGACCUGACGCUGAGACGCGAAGGCGUGGGGAGCGAACGGG
rnacentral:rRNA from 1 species